rnacentral:rRNA from 1 species
UGCAGUCGAGCGGAAACGACUUAACUGAACCUUCGGGGAACGUUAAGGGCGUCGAGCGGCGGACGGGUGAGUAAUGCCUGGGAAUAUGCCUUAGUGUGGGGGAUAACUAUUGGAAACGAUAGCUAAUACCGCAUAAUGUCUUCGGACCAAAGAGGGGGACCUUCGGGCCUCUCGCGCUAAGAUUAGCCCAGGUGAGAUUAGCUAGUUGGUGAGGUAAGAGCUCACCAAGGCGACGAUCUCUAGCUGGUCUGAGAGGAUGAUCAGCCACACUGGAACUGAGACACGGUCCAGACUCCUACGGGAGGCAGCAGUGGGGAAUAUUGCACAAUGGGCGAAAGCCUGAUGCAGCCAUGCCGCGUGUAUGAAGAAGGCCUUCGGGUUGUAAAGUACUUUCAGUAGGGAGGAAGGUGUUGUAGUUAAUAGCUGCAGCAUUUGACGUUACCUACAGAAGAAGCACCGGCUAACUCCGUGCCAGCAGCCGCGGUAAUACGGAGGGUGCGAGCGUUAAUCGGAAUUACUGGGCGUAAAGCGCAUGCAGGUGGUUCAUUAAGUCAGAUGUGAAAGCCCGGGGCUCAACCUCGGAACCGCAUUUGAAACUGGUGAACUAGAGUGCUGUAGAGGGGGGUAGAAUUUCAGGUGUAGCGGUG